rnacentral:rRNA from 1 species
UACGUAGGGUGCAAGCGUUGUCCGGAAUUAUUGGGCGUAAAGAGCUCGUAGGCGGUUUGUCGCGUCUGCUGUGAAAACCCGAGGCUCAACCUCGGGCCUGCAGUGGGUACGGGCAGACUAGAGUGCGGUAGGGGAGACUGGAAUUCCUGGUGUAGCGGUGAAAUGCGCAGAUAUCAGGAGGAACACCGAUGGCGAAGGCAGGUCUCUGGGCUGUAACUGACGCUGAGGAGCGAAAGUGUGGGGAGCGAACAGG